rnacentral:rRNA from 1 species
AGAGUUUGAUCCUGGCUCAGAACGAACGCUGGCGGCAUGNNAACACAUGCAAGUCGAACGCACCUUUCGGGGUGAGUGGCGCACGGGUGAGUAACACGUGGGAACCUGCCUUCUGGUUCGGGAAAACGUCUGGAAACGGACGCUAAUACCGGAUGUGUCCUGAGGGACAAAGAUUUAUCGCCAGGAGAGGGGCCCGCGUCCGAUUAGGUAGUUGGUAGGGUAACAGCCUACCAAGCCGACGAUCGGUAGCUGGUCUGAGAGGAUGAUCAGCCACACUGGGACUGAGACACGGCCCAGACUCCUACGGGAGGCAGCAGUGGGGAAUAUUGGACAAUGGGGGCAACCCUGAUCCAGCAAUGCCGCGUGAGUGAUGAAGGCCUUCGGGUUGUAAAGCUCUUUCGCACGCGACGAUGAUGACGGUAGCGUGAGAAGAAGCCCCGGCUAACUUCGUGCCAGCAGCCGCGGUAAUACGAAGGGGGCUAGCGUUGUUCGGAAUUACUGGGCGUAAAGGGCGCGUAGGCGGCCUGUUUAGUCAGAAGUGAAAGCCCCGGGCUCAACCUGGGAAUUGCUUUUGAUACUGGCAGGCUUGAGUUCCGGAGAGGAUGGUGGAAUUCCCAGUGUAGAGGUGAAAUUCGUAGAUAUUGGGAAGAACACCGGUGGCGAAGGCGGCCAUCUGGACGGACACUGNNNNNNAGGCGCGAAAGCGUGGGGAGCAAACAGGAUUAGAUACCCUAGUAGUCC